CUCCUACGGGAGGCAGCAGUGGGGAAUCUUGCACAAUGGGGGAAACCCUGAUGCAGCGACGCCGCGUGGGUGAUGAAGCUCUUCGGAGUGUAAAGCCCUUUCGGCAGGGAAGAGUAAAGACGGUACCUCGCCAAAGAAGCCCCGGCUAACUACGUGCCAGCAGCCGCGGUAAUAC
rnacentral:rRNA from 1 species